CGACUUUCUCCCCCUUCUUCACCUCCCAGCUGACGUCUCUUAACACUGUCACCCCCUUGUAGCUCUUGGUGAUGUUUUCGAGGCGGACGCCAGAGGAGACGCUGGAGGCGCCGGCGCCACUGUUGGACUUCUUCUUGCUCUGGUUUUUCGACGGGGUUUCGGAGAAGAGGGAUUCGAUGUAGGUUUCGGUUUCGGCGUCGGCGACGACGACGGGGACGGCGGAGGCUCUGGGGGGCCUGGUUCUUGGGGCGAUUGGCUUUAGGGCUAGAGAGAGCAGGGUUCGGAUUCGCCGGGGUUGGGAGGGGGUUGGGG
rnacentral:misc_RNA from 1 species